AUGGCAAUACAGCACAUAUAUUAAAAUUGGCACAAUACAGAGAAGAUUAGCUGGUCCCUGUGCAAAAUCCAUUCAAUGUUGCUGAAGAAAUGUCCUUAUAG
rnacentral:snRNA from 1 species